rnacentral:rRNA from 1 species
UUAAGCGACUAAGCGUACACGGUGGAUGCCCUGGCAGUCAGAGGCGAUGAAGGACGUGCUAAUCUGCGAAAAGCGUCGGUAAGGUGAUAUGAACCGUUAUAGCCGGCGAUGUCCGAAUGGGGAAACCCAGUGCAAUUCGUUGCACUAUCGUUAACUGAAUACAUAGGUUAACGAGGCGAACCGGGGGAACUGAAACAUCUAAGUACCCCGAGGAAAAGAAAUCAACCGAGAUUCCCCCAGUAGCGGCGAGCGAACGGGGAGCAGCCCAGAGUCUGAAUCAGCUUGUGUGUUAGUGGAACGGUCUGGAAAGUCCGACGGUACAGGGUGAUAGUCCCGUACACCAAAAUGCACAGGCUGUGAACUCGAAGAGUAGGGCGGGACACGUGGUAUCCUGUCUGAAUAUGGGGGGACCAUCCUCCAAGGCUAAAUACUCCUGACUGACCGAUAGUGAACCAGUACCGUGAGGGAAAGGCGAAAAGAACCCCGGCGAGGGGAGUGAAAAAGAACCUGAAACCGUGUACGUACAAGCAGUGGGAGCACCUUCGGGUGUGACUGCGUACCUUUUGUAUAAUGGGUCAGCGACUUAUAUUCUGUAGCAAGGUUAACCGUAUAGGGGAGCCGCAGGGAAACCGAGUCUUAACUGGGCGUUAAGUUGCAGGGUAUAGACCCGAAACCCGGUGAUCUAGCCAUGGGCAGGUUGAAGGUUGGGUAACACUAACUGGAGGACCGAACCGACUAAUGUUGAAAAAUUAGCGGAUGACUUGUGGCUGGGGGUGAAAGGCCAAUCAAACCGGGAGAUAGCUGGUUCUCCCCGAAAGCUAUUUAGGUAGCGCCUCGUGAACUCAUCUUCGGGGGUAGAGCACUGUUUCGGCUAGGGGGUCAUCCCGACUUACCAACCCGAUGCAAACUACGAAUACCGAAGAAUGUUAUCACGGGAGACACACGGCGGGUGCUAACGUCCGUCGUGAAGAGGGAAACAACCCAGACCGCCAGCUAAGGUCCCAAAGUCAUGGUUAAGUGGGAAACGAUGUGGGAAGGCACAGACAGCCAGGAUGUUGGCUUAGAAGCAGCCAUCAUUUAAAGAAAGCGUAAUAGCUCACUGGUCGAGUCGGCCUGCGCGGAAGAUGUAACGGGGCUAAACCAUGCACCGAAGCUGCGGCAGCGACACUAUGUGUUGUUGGGUAGGGGAGCGUUCUGUAAGCCUGCGAAGGUGUGCUGUGAGGCAUGCUGGAGGUAUCAGAAGUGCGAAUGCUGACAUAAGUAACGAUAAAGCGGGUGAAAAGCCCGCUCGCCGGAAGACCAAGGGUUCCUGUCCAACGUUAAUCGGGGCAGGGUGAGUCGACCCCUAAGGCGAGGCCGAAAGGCGUAGUCGAUGGGAAACAGGUUAAUAUUCCUGUACUUGGUGUUACUGCGAAGGGGGGACGGAGAAGGCUAUGUUAGCCGGGCGACGGUUGUCCCGGUUUAAGCAUGUAGGCUGGUUGUCCAGGCAAAUCCGGAUAAUCAAGGCUGAGGUGUGAUGACGAGGCACUACGGUGCUGAAGUAACAAAUGCCCUGCUUCCAGGAAAAGCCUCUAAGCAUCAGGUAACAUUAAAUCGUACCCCAAACCGACACAGGUGGUCAGGUAGAGAAUACCAAGGCGCUUGAGAGAACUCGGGUGAAGGAACUAGGCAAAAUGGUGCCGUAACUUCGGGAGAAGGCACGCUGGUGUGUAGGUGAAGUCCCUGCGGAUGGAGCUGAGACCAGUCGAAGAUACCAGCUGGCUGCAACUGUUUAUUAAAAACACAGCACUGUGCAAACACGAAAGUGGACGUAUACGGUGUGACGCCUGCCCGGUGCCGGAAGGUUAAUUGAUGGGGUUAUCCGUAAGGAGAAGCUCUUGAUCGAAGCCCCGGUAAACGGCGGCCGUAACUAUAACGGUCCUAAGGUAGCGAAAUUCCUUGUCGGGUAAGUUCCGACCUGCACGAAUGGCGUAAUGAUGGCCAGGCUGUCUCCACCCGAGACUCAGUGAAAUUGAACUCGCUGUGAAGAUGCAGUGUACCCGCGGCAAGACGGAAAGACCCCGUGAACCUUUACUAUAGCUUGACACUGAACAUUGAGCCUUGAUGUGUAGGAUAGGUGGGAGGCUUUGAAGCGUGGACGCCAGUCUGCGUGGAGCCAACCUUGAAAUACCACCCUUUAAUGUUUGAUGUUCUAACGUUGGCCCCUGACCGGGGUUGCGGACAGUGUCUGGUGGGUAGUUUGACUGGGGCGGUCUCCUCCCAAAGCGUAACGGAGGAGCACGAAGGUUAGCUAAUCCUGGUCGGACAUCAGGAGGUUAGUGCAAUGGCAUAAGCUAGCUUGACUGCGAGCGUGACGGCGCGAGCAGGUGCGAAAGCAGGUCAUAGUGAUCCGGUGGUUCUGAAUGGAAGGGCCAUCGCUCAACGGAUAAAAGGUACUCCGGGGAUAACAGGCUGAUACCGCCCAAGAGUUCAUAUCGACGGCGGUGUUUGGCACCUCGAUGUCGGCUCAUCACAUCCUGGGGCUGAAGUAGGUCCCAAGGGUAUGGCUGUUCGCCAUUUAAAGUGGUACGCGAGCUGGGUUUAGAACGUCGUGAGACAGUUCGGUCCCUAUCUGCCGUGGGCGCUGGAGAAUUGAGGGGGGCUGCUCCUAGUACGAGAGGACCGGAGUGGACGCAUCACUGGUGUUCGGGUUGUCAUGCCAAUGGCACUGCCCGGUAGCUAAAUGCGGAAGAGAUAAGUGCUGAAAGCAUCUAAGCACGAAACUUGCCCCGAGAUGAGUUCUCCCUGAGACUUUAAGUCUCCUGAAGGAACGUUGAAGACGACGACGUUGAUAGGCCGGGUGUGUAAGCGCAGCGAUGCGUUGAGCUAACCGGUACUAAUGAACCGUGAGGCUUAACCU